CAACAUGAAUUGCUUAUUGCACCACAUGUGUUUUUCUUUGAAACAAACUUGCUUUGGCGGUGGGCCCAGCCUGCCGCCAGAGGUCUAAACUUACAACCAAUUUUUUAUUAACUUGUCACACCAGAUUAUUACUUAAUAGUCAAAACUUUCAACAACGGAUCUCUUGGUUCUCGCAUCGAUGAAGAACGCAGCGAAAUGCGAUACGUAAUAUGAAUUGCAGAUAUUCGUGAAUCAUCGAAUCUUUGAACGCACAUUGCGCCCUCUGGUAUUCCGGAGGGCAUGCCUGUUUGAGCGUCGUUUCUCCCUCAAACCGCUGGGUUUGGUGUUGAGCAAUACGACUUGGGUUUGCUUGAAAGACGGUAGUGGUAAGGCGGGAUCGCUUUGACAAUGGCUUAGGUCUAACCAAAAACAUUGCUUGCGGCGGUAACGUCCACCACGUAUAUCUUCAAACUUUGACCUCAAAUCAGGUAGGACUACCCGCUGAACUUAAGCAUAUCAAAAGCCGGAGGAA
rnacentral:rRNA from 1 species